UGCACCAUAAGAUGGUUUAAAUUCUUUUGCGGUACUGGCUUUUGCUAAAAAAAAAUGUUAUCCAUCAAAAUGGAUUAUUUUAAGAAGCUGAAUCUGAGCAAAUAAUGUACACUGUAACACUGGUAUUAUUUACAGCAGAACAUAAAUUGGUAUAUAUUUGGUCUAUUAAUGCAGACUUGGUAUCCCAAUAGAACUAAAUGGUGAAAAUGUAUCUAUAAAAUCGACCUCAACUAGUUUAGGAUUAAGGCCCUAUUACAUGAGCUUUCUCACAUCAACAUCAUCGACUCCUCUGACAUUAUAGCUAAUAAUGAAUACUUCACUUUGAUUGAGAUUCUACCACCUUCUACACACAGCUUGGCACCAGUGACCACCCAGUAUCCAGGCGCGUCAUCUGGACCCCUCACGAUUUCCUUUGUGUCCACAAAGUUUGACAUUUUUGGUGCCCUUGUUGGCGAGGGUGGAUCUCCAUGAAAAACUGCAGAAUUCACAUCCACUUUCACUGGCUUUUCUGGUGGUGGAUUCAGACCAGCACUGAACCUUGUGCUGAUCAACAUUGAGAUGACCCCCGAUUUCCGCGGCAAAGUUGAAGGUCCAUCCCAUUCUGAUCUGCGGAUCCUUGCUGAUGCCACCAUUGAGAAUCCAAGCCUCAGGAACAAAACUUUCUUCAUCCCAAUUAUCUUAACCUCAAACCAGGCCCUUGACACAAUAGAAGCAGAGUCAUCAAUGUGGGGGCCAUUGUAACGCACUGGGGCAGUACACACAUGGGAAAAUAUGCUACAUUUAACAGGUUCGACGUAGCCUCGUUCCACAGGUUCCUCGAUGGUCUCAUAUCUAUGAUCAUCUGAGAGUUGGAGAAUACUGGGAAGAAUCGAAAGAUGCUGGAGAUGGAUAGCCAAACGGUCACUUCUCUUUCCUUCCAAAUAUAAACGGAUUCCUGUCACUGGCCGAUUUCCAGAAUCCACCUGUAAUGCAUGGAUUUAUUAACCAAAAAAAUGGUAAGAGGACAAUCAAAUUCUAUAAUAGAAAUAAACAUAUUUGCAGAGUUUGAAGAUAAAAUAACUAGACAGCCAUAGCAGGGCCUUCUCACAUACUAAGGCGAUGAAGAGUUAGAGGCUAUAAAAAUCCUUAAACAAUAACCUAAAUAUUUCUUUAAAUUCCUUUCCUUUUUUUUUUUUUGGUGAUGGGCUUGCUAAUGUGUUUCAGCAGUAAACUUUAGGCUCGUUAAAGGAAUAAUUCAAAGGUCCUAAUAGCACCAUCACCUAAAGCAGUUUGAUUUAGAUCAUAGAACCAGUGGUAUUUCUUUGGUGCAGUACAGAAUCACCUGCAUGGUGUUGACGUAAAGCUUAGGGCCCAUAAAGGUAAACUGGAGAGAUGGGGAUGCUUGCUUUCUGCGCUCAAGAGUAAGAGGUAGAUCACCAUAUUCUGGAGCCCACUGCCGAGGUAACUGAAACUCUAAAAACUGAUGGAGUUCCUCUAUGGACGGUUUGUCUGCAAGAUUUCACUAGACAUCAAACUACUAGCAUUGCAAAAUAGAAGAUAUGAUGAAAGUUAAAUGCAACAAUUUUCAGAUCAUAAUGCACCUGGCAUUGGCUAAAUCCAUAUGAUCAUUCCUAGUGGGCUACAACAUCUGUAACAGUUCAUGAAAAAAACUGUACAUCGUAACAUCUAGAGAUGCAAGCAUUGAUUGGUUAAGCAAUCGCAACCAAACAAGACUGAUUCUGCCAACUGACUGUUAAAAAGCACUGAGGCUGAAUGUUAGAUCUUAGGCUAAGAAGUAUGAGUAACUGCAUCAAACAUGCCAGCAACAAUCUAGAAAUAGGAUUUGCCUCAAAUCUGCCUCGAGUAUCUACAGUAGUGUGACAUGUGAUAUAUACUUCAUUUAGUUUAUAAAAGGAACUACAUAUAAUUCAUUGAAUUCAGGAUUGUGCCAUGGAUGGAUCACCCAUGUCAUACAGAGACCAAAAUAACAGCUGAGGGAUGCUACGCACAUCGAAGGUAAAGAUUGACUGCAUGACUUAAAAAUCCAUUGCCUCGGACACCACCUAAAAGAGAAGUUAUAGGCACAAAGGACAUUGAAAUGACAUUUGGUGACUGUGAUAUUGUGGGGAGCCACUGACAAUGACUUUGACCAAUAUCUACACCUCCCCUUCGAACAGAAAUGCUCAGUAUAUCCUCAUUUUUUAUGGGAGUAAUGACAGUUGGCCCCAUUGAGGUGGCAAAUCCACAGGGAUCACAUAACACAGAAUGUUCAUCUUCCUUAUCGGAAAACCUCUCGUCAGCUACUUGCUUUAACAAUUUCUGUAUUUCAGGAGGCUGAGCAUUUGAUUUUUGUAAUUGCUUUAUGUGUAUUACAUCUUUACCACCCAUCUUUACUCCAACAACGAUAUGAGUACCAUAUUUCUCAAUGAAUUCAGCAAGGGCAGCAGCAUCCCAAGAAGUAGGCACUUCUUGUUUCAGCUGCUCGGACAAGGCUAAAUGGGAUCUUUCCACCUCUAUAUUAUAUAGAGUUAUGAACCAACCAUCAUAAGCAAGAUUUUUUGCAGAAGCUGCAUCUUUCUGCCAGCUUCCCUUGAAGUCAAACAUGGCAUUAAAUAUUCCUGAGGGAAUUUUACCUGACAAAGAAAGAUCCUGAUUGAACUUUUCCGACAUCUGCACAUAGAGUAAGAGAACAACAACAAGUUACAACAAGGUUCACCAUAAUCAUUACAUCCCAAAUAUAGUAAAAGAAAAAGCUAUGAUGAUAAAUUUAAAUAAAUGGGUUCUCCUAAUUUCUGUAAUAUAUACUUACCAAAAAUCACGAUCAGCUUAAUUAGCAUCAUCAUUAUUAUCAAGUACUGAGUUUACCAGAGCACAAACCAAACACUUGAAAAAAGGAAACGAAAAGGCAUCAACUUUUUCAUCCCAAUUCAUCACUUGCUUGAAAAAUCACAUCUUUUACCUGAUUAAAAGAGAGAAAACCAGAACGGAACCUAGUACGCUCCCCCUUAUCACACUUGAUUCGAGUGGAAACGUUUCUAACAACAAUCCCGCCAGGAACGACAAGUUCUCGAGUAAGAGUUGGGUCAAGCUCGAUCAAUCUCGACCCGGAAGGACCCGGUUUGCAAGCAGACAAUCUGACAUCUCUAGUCAAAUCGUAGCCAAACCCAAUAACGGAGAUGGCCUUCUCCGCGGCGGAUUGAGGGUCGAGGCGAUGAAGAGCCAUUAGACGGGAAUGACAGAGAGCACCAAGUGGGUUAGGCAAGUUAUUGGUGAGGCUCAUAGCCAGUGGUGGAGUUGUAACAGUGGAAGAGAAGACCCAUUGAAGUGGUCUUCGCACUUUGGUAUAGUGACAUGUUCAGAGGUCUCUGCCUUC
rnacentral:misc_RNA from 1 species